AGGUCGGUGGUAUCUAACCCGGGGCUGUGAUGGGAGGUCGGUGGUCUCUAACCCGGGGCUGUGAUGGGAGGGUGGUGGUCUCUAACCCGGGGCUGUGAUGGGAGGGUCCGUGUCCCCGGAUGACCAGGUCCCAAACACACGUCCCAGACUCCGGGUCGGUGAGCGAGUCCAGCAGGACAGACAUGGUCAGACACUGGGACCAGCGGGCACAGGCCGGGGUUGCCGGCUCCACCCCUGUCGGGGGGCGAGCAGAAGGCUGCCGAUCAGUGAUUCUCAUCAUUUAUGUCUCUGCCUCUCUCUCCCUCUCCCUUCCUCUCUGAAAUCAAUGAAAAUAUAUUUAAAAAGAAAAGAAA